CACGUAGGGCGCAAGCGUUGUCCGGAAUUAUUGGGCGUAAAGAGCUCGUAGGUGGUCUGUUACGUCUGCUGUGAAAACCCAGGGCUUAACCCUGGGCUUGCAGUGGAUACGGGCAGACUAGAGGCAGGUAGGGGAGAAUGGAAUUCCCGGUGUAGCGGUGAAAUGCGCAGAUAUCGGGAGGAACACCGGUGGCGAAGGCGGUUCUCUGGGCCUGACCUGACGCUGAGGAGCGAAAGCGUGGGGAGCGAACAGG
rnacentral:rRNA from 1 species